GUGUUACCGGGACCUGGCCUUGGUGAGCCGAGAUGGGCUAAGCACCAUAUUGACCAAGAUGAACCAGAUUCUCAUGGAGAAAUACCUCAAACUGCAAGACACCUGUCGCACCCAGCUGGUUUGGCUGCUGCGCGAGAUGGUGAGGAAUGGGAUCAUCGGCAUCGACGGGAAUUGCAUGACGUUCAUGAAGCAGAUCGCAGGCGGAGAUGUCACCUCCAAGAACAUCUGGCUGGCCGAAAACAUCCUCGACAUACUGACAGAGCAGAGGUAGGAUCGCUCACCUGGUCAGAAUAACCAGGUGACCCGAAAAAAAACCCCACCCAAGGGCCUAAAGACUCAGAAGCGGCCAAAUCUUGCUUUUGUGGCGUCUUUUUUUUUUUUCCAUUUU